UUCCUAGGUCUACACCAGCCAUGCAAGCAGCUGCUCUGGGUUCUUCCAUUGGAACAGCCCUUGUUGGAGGGCUGAUCACAGGUUUAAUUCUAAAGUUACCUAUCUGGGGACAGCCAUCUGACCAGAACUGCUAUGAUGAUUCUGUCUUUUGGGAGGUCCCUAGGUGGAGAGAACAUGACCAUCAUUUCCAUGAACACCAUGGCCACAACCACUUGGAACCUGAACUCUAAGUUUCAUUUCUCUGCCUCAGCUUCCUUUCCCUUCAUCUAGAAUCAAGUUUAAAUAGACAAAAAGCAUCCAACGAAAAUAUGGACCAGAAUGGAAGAUCCUGACCUGAAAAUGUCCAGUGUAAAAAUG